UAGUGGAGACCCCACUAGGAAAUCUUCAAGUUGAUUUAAAAUUAAUACAAGAAUUGAGAAAUACUAAAAUAUUUAAAGAAAUAAAUAUACAACAGGAUAUGGACGAACAUUCUCUCGAAAUGCAAUAUCCAUUUAUUUACAAAAUAUUCGGAGGAUCAAUUAAAAUUGUCCCAAUCAUGGUGGGGUCCUGUGAUUCUGAAAUGUCGAGAAGAACUGCAAAAAUCCUCUCAAAAUAUUUG